rnacentral:lncRNA from 10 species
AUAUUCUUAUAUAUAUAUACACAUAUGUAUAUAUACAUAUGAAUAUAUACACAUAUGUAUAUAUACAUAUGAAUAUAUACACAUAUACAUAUGAAUAUAUACACAUAUACAUAUGAAUAUAUACAUAUAUACAUAUGAAUAUAUACACAUAUAUACGUAUGAAUAUAUACACAUAUAUUCGUACGAAUAUAUAUACAUAUAUUCGUACGAAUAUAUAUACAUAUAUAUGUAUAAAACUUUAAAAGAUCCUUUUUCUUCAUCAACAUUCGUAUGAGAACAUCAGGAAAGUGCUUUUGAUUUUCUCUUGGCAAGACAUUUUCCUAGAGAAGUAGUCCACAGUCCCAACCAUUAGCCCCAACUCUGAGGGACAGGAAGUCCCCAUCCAUGGCCAGGCAGACCCGGGUCCAAGCUCUCAGCAUGGUCCCUUUUCUGAGCCAGGUCAAGUCCUUCCACCCGACUGGUCCUCAAAUCCUCUACCUGCUAGAUGGGCCAUUGUGUGCCCAGCCUCCCUGGACGUUACAAGAGCAGUGGUGAGGAAAGCUAGCUCCCUGGCCCCCAGGCCGAGAGGAAAAGAAUCCUGGAUUAAGCCAGAGGCUGAGUUCUCUGGAGGUCUGGGGCACUGACGGGUUACUGGGUAGAGGGCCAGCUUAGGGGAGGGUGUGGUCUGAAGGUAUGGGUAGGGCAAGACCUGACUCCACUCAGUGAUGUGUCCCCAGUGAGGCAUCCUCCCUAGAACCUGUAAGUAACAGGAAGACCCUACCCUGAACAGAGCUCUAGGGAUGAGGGGAGGGUUUGAACCCCUGCUCGCAGGCCGAGGCCACCCCAGUGAAAGCUUGGCUGGACAAUAUCGCCCUACCGUGGAAAUGUCGUUAAGGACUAAGUCCUUUAAAAAAAACUACUGGGAGAAUUUUGUCUCAGGCCUAGAGCCUAUAAUCACUGGCUUCUCCCGGCCGUUAGUUUGAUUUUGUCUUAUGGAUAUGCGAAAUUUUGAAACAAUUGUUUUGUCUUUGCUUUGGCUACUGGGAAGCUCCCUAUCAUACUUAUGACCCAUCUCUCCCUCCUGUAUAGAACUUUAUCGUAUUUGUUUCUGUGUAGCAACCCAACCAGUUGUACAUUCUUUUUUUCACUGAUCCUUCAUCGACUUAUUUUUUGUCCUUUGUAUGUUUUUCCCAAAAGCGACAUUGCAUUAUUUUUGGAAGGAAAUAGCUAUGAGUAAAUAAACAAACGGCAUUGUGAAGUUUGGGAUUCACGUUCAGGCUCCCUCUGCCCAAACACGUUUACUGUUGUUGUUUUUAAGUUCACAGCAUCUUGUGGAAUUAGUAGGUAAGCGCUUUUCCACCUCACUUUAUUUUUUAAAGUCAGUUUUUAGUUUUAAUAAUUUGCAUAUGCACAUGGUUUCAGAGAAUCAAAGGAUUCCUGUUACAGAACCAGCAGCCUCCUGACACCCCACCCUCACUUCCUUUUCCUCACAUGCGACUGCUCCUUGAAACUCUCUUAACUGCUUCUAAAAAAUAUGCUGGUGUCGCCACUUGAGGAGUUUUCAGUCUAGGGCAUUUUCUAUGGACUUCCCAGUGUGAAGAUGAGGACAGUGUUCUCUUCCAAACACCCGCCCCACGCUCCCGCGAGGCUCAUCUUCCCGCCCCAGUGUUUGAUGACUUGGCCAUCCGCGCUUACGUUAUUUUGACCAUGUAUAUGUUAUUGAGAGUUGUACAAUAUAGUGUACUGGGGCUACUUUUCCUUUUUAUUUUCCCUGAAGUCAGUCUCUCUGUCUCUCUUAGUUUUAUCUCCCACCCCCAUUUGACUGGUGGGGACCAGGGAUCCCACUCAGGGACCUGUAGCACUGUCAGGUCCGACCCCUUCUUCCCCUGGGUCUCUGCCAGAUAAGGCAUCUGGCUCGCAGUCUCUAUGCCCUCCACUUCUCCCUAAGGACACAGAGAACUCCUCUUUUCAGCUGGCAGCCCCAGUCCUGGAAACUUACCUGGAAUGAGCCAAGGGCUAGUUCAAAAAACAGCUGGAUCUCCAUAGCGUCCUCUGGGGAGAAGGCGAAGACGAUGUAGUGGAUGCCAAAGAGGGGGAUCAGCAGGAGAGUGGACCUGGCCAGGCGCCUGGGGACACAGAAAGCCUGUAGCCUCCACUCUGCCUCCCUGCGCCCUUUCUCCUCCUGUAGGCACACAGCUGUGCCACUCCCCAGCUCGGGACUGACUGCUGAGGCUGGCUAGCAGUACCCCAAACUUUUUUGUUUUCAUUUUUUAUUUUGAAAGUUUCUAACUCCCUCAUAUCCAUCACUCAGAUACAACAAUUUUUGACUCAUGGCAAAGCCCCAAACUUUCUGAUCAUGCACCUCCAUCAGUAAAAAGAAAAAAAAACGGUACCUACACCAUUAACUUUAUUUAUAAAUUACGUGCCUAUAUCACUGCUGCUCUAUGUCUAACAUCAUACAAGCAAAGCCGGCUUUCUCAUUUGCUAGAUAAUAAAUAUCUGUAGGGACAAAUUCUUGUAUUUUCUUCCCAGAUUAGGGUUGCCAAACUUAGCAAAUAAAAAUACAGAAUCCCCAGUUAAAUCUGAAUUUCAGAUAAACAAUGGACACCAUGUGGGGGUAUAAAUAUUGAAAAACGAUUUGUUGUUUAUCCAAAAUUCAAAUGUAACUGGGCAUCCUGUAUUUUACCUGGCAACUUUAUCCCAGGUCCCCAGGAAUCUGACACCAAGUAAUCUGAGGCACUGUCAGAUUCUCAAAACACGAAACACCAUGGAGAAGGUCUCUGGGGGACACUAAUUUGUCCUGUUUUUGUUUUGUUUUUUUCUUCUUUUUGAGACAGAGUCUUGCUGUGUUGUGCAGGCAGGAGUGCAGUGGCGCAAUCGCGGCUCACUGCAACCUCUGCCUCCCAGGUUCAAGUGAUUCUCCUAUCUCAGCCUCCCGAGUAGCUGAGAUUACAGGCGCCCUCCACCACGCCUGGCUAAUUUUUGUAUUUUUAGCAAAGACGAGGUUUCACCAUCUUGACCAGGCUGGUCUCGAACUCCUGACCUCAAGUGAUCUGCCCACCUUGGCCUCCCAAAGUGCUGGGAUUAUUGGUGUGAGCCACCGCGCCUGGAUGCUAAUUUGUCUUUAAUAUAAUUUAUGGGCUGAAUUAUGUCCACACCCACUGCCAAAUUUUUACACUGAAGUCCUAGCCCCCAGUAUCUCAGAAUGUGACUGCAUUUGGAGAAAGGUCUUGAAAGAGGAGGCUAAGUUACAACAAGGAUGGAGUGGGGCCUAAUCAAAUCAACUGGUGUCCUUAGAAGAGGAAAUAUGGACACACAGAGGGACACCAGGGAUGCCCACACACAGAGCAAAGACCCUGUGAGGACACAGCAAGAAAUGCUUCAGAAGAAACCAAACCUGUCGACACCUUGAUCUUGGACUUUCAGCCUCCAGAACUCUGAGAAAAUACAUAUCAGCUGUUUAAGCCACCUAGUCUGUGAUAUUUUGUUAUGGAAGCCCUAGAAAACGAACGUAUUUCUCUUUAACAUUUGAAAGGUCUUAAGUGUUUUUGGAUCACGCACUUCCCUAAAAUCUGAUGAAACCGAAGGUCAUCCUCCUCUGAAAAUACACAUACUGUACCUACACACAUUUGUGUGAAUUUCAGUCUUUGAAGCCCAUGUGGAGACUCCCUAGCCUUGCCCCAAGGAUAAGAUCUCUCUGCCGUCAGGCUUCCUGCCUGAGAUUUCUUAGUGUUUCCACCCCCAUACAGUGUCUGAGGCUCUAAAAUCAGACCAUUCCCCGCAACCGCCCCCAUGUACCUGGUAAACUUCUUACGACUAGGUCUACAACGUUUCCUCCGUCUCCAAUAGCUAGCACCAGUUAAGUAAACAGUAGGUGCUCAGUAAAUGCUUGCUGACUGACCAUGCCUCAGUCUUUGCCCUUCACUUACUUAUAAUGGCUGACUUCAUUUCCUCUUGUUUCUUG